AUGUUGGUUAGGGACAGGUGUACUUGGCCACUGCCUGUGGGGUCCAGUAUUCUGACUAGGGAUGUUGGUUAGGGACAGGUGUACUUGGCCACUGCCUGUGGGGUCCAGUAUUCUGACUAGGGAUGUUGGUUAGGGACAGGUGUACUUGGCCACUGCCUGUGGGGUCCAGUAUUCUGACUGUAGGGAUGUUGGUUAGGGACAGGUGUACUUGGCCACUGCCUGUGGGGUCCAGUAUUCUGACUAGGGAUGUUGGUUAGGGACAGGUGUACUUGGCCACUGCCUGUGGGGUCCAGUAUUCUGAUGUAGGGAUGUUGGUUAGGGACAGGUGUACUUGGCCACUGCCUGUGGGGUCCAGUAUUCUGACUGUAGGGAUGUUGGUUAGGGACAGGUGUACUUGGCCACUGCCUGUGGGGUCCAGUAUUCUGACUGUAGGGAUGUUG